AGUCUAACCCUUAAAAAAGACUUUUUUAAGGUAUGACUAAAAUACCAAUCACGAAUAAAGAACUCCUCGUCAGGGUUCCGUGAUUGGUCAUAUGGGGAAACCUAUAUGUGAGCCGAAAGGCUCU
rnacentral:sRNA from 12 species